GAACGCUGGCGGCAUGCUUUACACAUGCAAGUCGGACGGCAGCGGGGUAGUGCUUGCACUACUGCCGGCGAGUGGCGAACGGGUGAGUAAUAUAUUGGAACGUACCGAGUAAUGGGGGAUAACCAAUCGAAAGAUUGGCUAAUACCGCAUACGCUCUGAGGAGGAAAGCAGGGGACCUUCGGGCCUUGCGUUAUUCGAGCGGCCAAUAUCUGAUUAGCUAGUUGGUGGGGUAAGGGCCUACCAAGGCGACGAUCAGUAGCGGGUCUGAGAGGAUGAUCCGCCACACUGGGACUGAGACACGGCCCAGACUCCUACGGGAGGCAGCAGUGGGGAAUUUUGGACAAUGGGCGCAAGCCUGAUCCAGCCAUGCCGCGUGUCUGAAGAAGGCCUUCGGGUUGUAAAGGACUUUUGUUAGGGAAGAAAAAGGAGCGGUUAAUACCCGUUUCUGCUGACGGUACCUAAAGAAUAAGCACCGGCUAACUACGUG
rnacentral:rRNA from 1 species